AUUGGGCGCUGAUGCUGCAGAUGGAAGUCAUCUGCUGUAGAAGCUCAGACGGAGACUUUUUGUUGGAGAAGUCCGAUAAGAGUCCGAUUGCUAGAAGAGUCCGUCUGGAGUUUGCCUGAUGUAGAAGCUCGUCCGAGGACUGUCCGUCGGAGAGGUCCGGUUUCAUGAGGAAUCCGAUAGAGGGUCGACCGACAGUGGGGUUCGGAUGGCAUUGUGGAGGUUCGUCCG
rnacentral:lncRNA from 1 species